AAUAUAUAUUCGAACCAAAGAAAGAACAAAAAAAACAUCAGCAACAAUUAACUCUGAAAUCUAUUUUAUUUUCCAAUAGUAAUUUCUAUACAUUUCCAAGUGUUACAGUGAUACUUUUGCCCAUUUACCACCUAUUACAUUAUUUCCUCAUCUUCUCACUUAACCUAUCGUAAAAAACAAACACAUAGAAAAACAAAGAAACUACAAUCAUCUUUAUAUCUAUUUUUUUAACACUAAUUUUCUCUUCUUUUCUCAUCAUUAUCAUUCCAGGGAGCGAAAAGGAGAGAGAGAGCAAAAAAGAGAGCAAAAGGAACGAUAAAUACUGGACCCAAAAAUUGGAACAAAAACCAAAGGAAAAAGAAGAGGAAAAAGAGAGGGUCAAUUUCCAUUUUCUCUUCGCUUUUGGUUAUGUGUUGAUCUAAUGUCGUUAUCACUGAACAGUUAUUACCAUUGAUGAUGAUAUAGAGUAAAGAACAAAGAAGAAAACAACAUACUAAUCACUUAAAUCGACAGAAAUAAAAACGAAAUUGAAAAAAAAGGUAAACGGUUUCCUUUUCUCUCUUUAGAGUUUAAAGUAUCAUUAGCCCAGUUUCAUCUUUAUCUCUCUUUUUCGCUCUCCCGUUUACCUGGAAUCUAUGUAAUAAUGUCGAUGAGAAGCUGUAACUUUGAAGAUUAACAGACAUCAUUUCACUUUCA